UACGAAGGGGGCUAGCGUUGUUCGGAAUUACUGGGCGUAAAGCGCACGUAGGCGGAUUGGUCAGUUAGGGGUGAAAUCCCAGGGCUCAACCCUGGAACUGCCUUUAAUACUGCCAAUCUAGAGUUCGAGAGAGGUGAGUGGAAUUCCGAGUGUAGAGGUGAAAUUCGUAGAUAUUCGGAGGAACACCAGUGGCGAAGGCGGCUCACUGGCUCGACACUGACGCUGAGGUGCGAAAGCGUGGGGAGCAAACAGG
rnacentral:rRNA from 1 species